AAAUGCGAUAAGUAAUGUGCAUUGCAGAAUUCAGUGAAUCAUCGAAUCUUUGAACGCACAUUGCGCCCGCCAGUAUUCUGGCGGGCAUGCCUGUUCGAGCGUCAUUUCAACCCUCAAGCCCCCGGGUUUGGUGUUGGGGAUCGGGCUGCGGUUCUACCGCGUCCCGGCCCCGAAAUCUAGUGGCGGUCUCGCUGCAGCCUCCAUUGCGUAGUAGCUAACACCUCGCAACUGGAACGCGGCGCGGCCAAGCCGUUAAACCCCCAACUUCUGAAUGUUGACCUCGGAUCAGGUAGGAAUACCCGCUGAACUUAAGC
rnacentral:misc_RNA from 1 species